rnacentral:rRNA from 1 species
GACAGAGGAUGCAAGCGUUAUCCGGAAUGAUUGGGCGUAAAGCGUCUGUAGGUGGCUUUUCAAGUCCGCCGUCAAAUCCCAGGGCUCAACCCUGGACAGGCGGUGGAAACUACCAAGCUGGAGUACGGUAGGGGCAGAGGGAAUUUCCGGUGGAGCGGUGAAAUGCAUUGAGAUCGGAAGGAACAUCAGUGGCGAAAGCGACUUCCCGGACCAGUACCGACGUUCAGGCACGAAAGCGUGGGGAGCAAACAGG